rnacentral:rRNA from 1 species
AUGUCCUCCUCUCACCGCUCGCAUCUCACAUGUCGGCCGACCACCGGCACAACAACGUCCGCUCGUCGGUCGGGCUCGGCCCUAGCCCAACAACUCAUCGGCGAGCCUUUGCCGAUAAUCAAGUGUGACCACUGCUGGCGGCUGGUGGUGCGCCACGUUUCGAGCAUGCCGAAACAUCCCGAAUGGGUUUUCUUCAAGUGCGAAAAGGACGGAGACGGAUGCAAAUUUUGGUAUUGGGAAGAAGAAUAUAUUGAUCUAUUGAUAGCAAGAAAUUUGCUUGAUGUUGGUGCAUUAGUUGCUAGAGAUGAAGCUAGAGAGGAUGCAAUGUUCAAGUUCGAAGAGGAAGAGAAGAAAAAAGUGUGCAAGCUCGAGAAGCCGGUAGGGAAAAGAAACAAUGUAGUCAAUAAAGAGAUGGAGAAAGCAUUGAUCGGAUUAACAGGAGCAGUUAAGGAAGUAGUGUUUCUGUUAAAAUGUGUAAUUUUUCUUGUAGUUUUCUUUGUAUUGGUUCUCUUAGCGAAGAAUUGGUGGAGUAUGUAA